rnacentral:rRNA from 1 species
UACGUAGGGUGCAAGCGUUAUCCGGAAUUAUUGGGCGUAAAGAGCUCGUAGGCGGUCUGUCGCGUCGGCUGUGAAAACACGGGGCUCAACUCCGUGCCUGCAGUCGAUACGGGCAGACUAGAGUUCGGUAGGGGAGACUGGAAUUCCUGGUGUAGCGGUGAAAUGCGUAGAUAUCGUAAGGAAGACCAGUGGCGAAGGCGGGUCUCUGGACAGUUCCUGACGCUGAGGCACGAAGGUCAGGGGAGCAAACGGG